GAUGAUGAAUUGCGAAUUUAUUGACAUCCAUUAAAAGAGUACAAAAUUCAUAGAGAAAUAGCUACGAAAUAGCAAGAAAUUAUUAAACUUGAUUCAUAUACUUCUACAUCUCUUGCUAGUUACCUUACUAAGGUGAAACAUGGAUUGAAAGAAACAGUCUACCUCUUCAUCCUUUACUACAUACUUCAAUUCAGUUGCUGCUGCUGAUCUUUUCAUCGUAAUUCGAGAACGCUGCGACGUAAAUGGCGACACUUUUCUUUUUUUUAUUGGAGCAGGUGGACAGUUUUGAAGAACAGGAAUCUUGUUUCUUGAACAUUUUGGUGUUUUGCAUUCUUCAAACUCCUCCAUGAUAAUCACUACCUCUUGUGCUUGAAUUUGCUUUGUAAAUUUUGCAUCUUCUUCCUGUUUGAGAAUGCUUGAAUAUUCUUCCAUUUUUAUGAGAAACUUGUUGCUCUACUUAGCUUGUUGAAGGAAUGAAGUUGAUGUAAGAAAACAAAAUAUAUAGUGUUAAAAAAUAUAUAUGUUUGUUUUGUAUAUAAAUUUAAUAAUAUUUAAAUUUAUUAAGAAAUUGAGUAUAAAAGCAUUCAAACAAUAUGAUAGGUAGAUGUUUGAAAAAGUACAUGGAAAAAUUUGGCAGCUUUUGAUAUAAGUACCCUUUUGCCUUUCUUGUUAAGAGACUUUUUGUAGAGCUUUUUGCUUGAAUAUUGAAACUUGAAAGUGUGUCAGUGAUGUGGUGUUAUAGUUGCCCAACGACAGUUCCAUGUCAUGAGAAGAACAAAC
rnacentral:lncRNA from 1 species